UGAGUCCAACAAUGACUCACAAUAGUUUUCCAAAUUGAUUAAAGGCACAAAAGCCAAAAGAUAGUUAUGGCACAAAAGCCAAGAUAGUUGUCUGGUAGAUUAUAGCUUGUCAACCUACUUCGGUAGGCUAUGCCUCCUAAGUUUAUCUCCUCGUAGCUUGUGCUCGUAGGUUGUCCUCGUAGGUUCCCAUGUGCUGUGCAAUUGAUACCACUGCUU